GAUACUAAAAGAAAGCAUCCAUUAGAUUUCAAUAUUGCAGGUAUAUAAAUGCAAAGAUAUCAAUAAUUGUGCCACCAAGGUGGCCAAACAGCACAAAGUUCCAAACCACAAAACAAAAAUAGAAAGCUUAACACCACUACUAUAUAACUGCACUCAAAACUCUCCAGCAACUGAAAUCAUUAAGAUUCUACUUGUUCAUCCUCCUCAUCUUCAUAGUCAUAACCUUCCUCUUCAGCUGUUGCAUCUUGAUACUGC
rnacentral:misc_RNA from 1 species